rnacentral:lncRNA from 1 species
AUUCCAUGACAUCGCUCUGUAAUAUUCCAGCAUAUAUUAAUUUCUCCAUUGUCAAAAGUCUAACCUUAGGAAAAGGACUUUUGAAUACAUAUUGCUAGGCAACAGACGCUAAUUGUUUCUUAUGUGUAAGUCUCUUCUCCUCAGGAUUCCAUCUCUUAUUCUUCUAAUGGGCUCUAUGGUGUUCAGUAUAAGGCUCCAUUAUUGGCACUCAAGGAGACUAAGGGAAGAGUAGUCUGGACAACUACCAAUCGGUCAAGAUUUAACCAAGAGAUCAAACUCAUUCACUGUUUCUGGCAUGUGCUUUGCUGAUGAAUCUCCACCCAGAGGACAAGACACAGAGUCAUUGCAGCCCUACAGCUUCAACUGCCAGGUGAAAUUUGGAGAAUAAAAAUCCACGUGAAGAUGGAAAGCAACUCCACGGAAGCGCAUUGCUUGACUGGUUACAAUUAUUCUGCCUUUGCUGUCCCAACCGGGGAGGGGGAAAAAUUGUGCUCUCUAUGUAUCAAGGCCAAAGUGGUGUUUUUAUAG